rnacentral:rRNA from 1 species
UACAGAGGGUGCAAGCGUUGUUCGGAAUUAUUGGGCGUAAAGCGCGCGUAGGCGGAUUUGCAAGUCGGGGGUGAAGGCCCGAGGCUCAACCUCGGAACUGCCCUCGAUACUGCAAAUCUCGAGUCCGAGAGAGGUGAGUGGAAUUCCUAGUGUAGAGGUGAAAUUCGUAGAUAUUAGGAAGAACACCAGUGGCGAAGGCGGCUCACUGGCUCGGUACUGACGCUGAGGCGCGAAAGCGUGGGGAGCAAACAGG